rnacentral:rRNA from 1 species
UACGUAGGGUGCAAGCGUUGUCCGGAUUUACUGGGCGUAAAGGGCGUGCAGGCGGUUUGUUAAGUCUAGGGUGAAAGCUCCCGGCUCAACUGGGAGAGGUCCUUGGAUACUGGCAGACUUGAGGAGGGUAGAGGAGAGUGGAAUUCCCGGUGUAGUGGUGAUAUGCGUAGAUAUCGGGAGGAACACCAGUGGCGAAGGCGGCUCUCUGGGCCCUACCUGACGCUGAGACGCGAAAGCGUGGGGAGCGAACCGG